rnacentral:rRNA from 1 species
UACGUAGGGUGCAAGCGUUGUCCGGAAUUAUUGGGCGUAAAGAGCUCGUAGGCGGUCUGUCGCGUCUGCUGUGAAAUCUCAGGGCUUAACCCCGAGCCUGCUUCUGAUACGGGCAGACUAGAGGUAUGCAGGGGAGAACGGAAUUCCUGGUGUAGCGGUGAAAUGCGCAGAUAUCAGGAGGAACACCGGUGGCGAAGGCGGUUCUCUGGGCAUUACCUGACGCUGAGGAGCGAAAGUGUGGGGAGCGAACAGG